GAUGAAGAACGUAGCGAAAUGCGAUACGUAAUGUGAAUUGCAGAAUUCAGUGAAUCAUCGAAUCUUUGAACGCAUAUUGCGCUCUCUGGUAUUCCGGAGAGCAUGCUUGUUUGAGUAUCAGUAAACACCUCAACUUCCAUAUCUUUUUUGAAAUGGGAGUUGGACUUGAGUGAUCCCAACGCUUUUCCUCACCGAAAAGUGGCGGGUUACUUGAAAUGCAGGUGCAGCUGGACUUUUCUCUGAGCUAUAAGCAUAUCUAUUUAGUCUGCCUAAAAAACAGAUUAUUACCUUUGCUGCAGCUAACAUAAAGGAGAUUAGUUCUUGUGCUGACUGAUGCAGGUUUCACAAAGACGGCUUCGGCCGACUUUGUAAACUCGAUCUCAAAUCAAGUAAGACUACCCGCUGAACUUAAGCAUAUCAAUAAGCGGAGGA
rnacentral:misc_RNA from 1 species